ACUGCAGGCUGGGGCUCCGCUCCCCGGCGGGAGCCCGCGCGUGGUUCCCAGCGAAGUCCCCGCGCGGCUGGGCCCAGCGUGAGUAUUCUCCGCCCGCUGUCCUCCCCCUGGAGGCGGCAGCGCCCGUUUAUUUGAGGCUUCUAAUGUGAGGAAAAACACGGAAUGACAAGUGUGGGAAAGAGCAAGCACUAAAUUACUGUCAGAAAAAUAAACGGAGUAGCACAGUGCUGCUCGGUGAUUUACGGGGGCAAUUAGUCACCACCCCACGGCGCUGCUGAGGACAGCACGGCAGCAGACAAGUCAGGCCCAUGAGGAAGAAGAGGCUUUGCACUGCUCUCCAGACAACUUUUCAAACAACAAGAGAGGAUAUUUGAGCACAUUAGGUUUUGUGUCUUCAUUCUGGGUACCUACUCUUCAUAUUAUUCUACCAACUUAAUACAUAAACAUAUUUUUAGCACAAUAUGAACCUGUUCUAUGUGUGUUUAAAAGCCUCCAGCAGCAACUUUUUUCUCUCCCACUGUCCAAAGUUGGGUUUUCCCCAUCCCUUAAAAAACAAAACAAAAAAACCUUUCUUCACUCCAAAUUGUCCCCCUGGUGUGUGGUUUUGGUCUUUCUCAUUACUUCUUGCAUCUUGCUACAUGUUCUGCAUUUGCUCAGAGCCACUGGGUGCUAAGGAAUUUGGUCUGCUGCUCCUCUGGGAAAGUUUGGUAAGCUGGUACAAGGAGGUGAUGAACAAGGCUAAAUGAAAAUCAUACAUAAACUUCCCAAUAUUUGUGAACAUGUUCUUUAACAUACCAUACAUAGUUUCUAUGUAUAUGUAACAUAGCAAAACAAACUUGCUAAGGUAUAAUUAAUUGGUAUGCAUGCCUUCAUAAAUAUUCACCAUCAGAAGAAACCUAGAAUGAAAGGUUGUGAAAGAACCCAGGAAUGAGAAAGACUUUAUUGACUAAAGGCCAUGUCUAUGUAGGGGCAACAAUGAAGCUGUGGGUGAGCAAAUGAAGCUUCAUCAGGAGUUUAGUAUCCUUAUGUAGCAUUACCUAAGAAUGCUACCAUAGUAAAUUUCUGAAGUACUUUACCUGUUACAAAGAACGUUUGUAAUCUCCUUUUCUUAUUUGAUCUUGCCCUGGCUUUAGUCAGGAACACCUGCUCAGUUAGAAAUGUAUUCGGUGGGUAUGUACGCAGUUGGAGAAUGUGCCCCAACACACGCCGCCUUUGGCCUGUAUGUUGGAGUCCUAGAGAGGCAGACAAUGUUGAUGAGCUUGGUACCAGCAUGGUGCGCCAUUCAUCCGGACACAAUUUCUGAUAAAGAGGGUCACAACUGGGAGAAACCUCAGAUUCUACUUGCUUCUCUUCUCCACGUUAUUAGACUUUUUUUCCCCUCUUGAAUUUUAUAAGCACACUCCUUUUAAAACAAUUAAUUAAUAACGAGCACUGGGAUUUGAUGUAGAAUUGCGUAUUUGUAACUGCAAUGGCACUGGUUUUCAACUACCCUGUAACAAGGAAGCAAUUCUAACCAGCAAAAGAGGCAGACGUGUUUCUGUGCAACAUCACAGGCGUGUGAAAUUGUUCAGAUAUUGAGAUAUCAGGAGUGAUAUAAAUUGGAAAUUUAACCAAAAAUAUUUUCCAUCAGUGAACAAAGCCGAUUUUAAAGUGCCUCUUGCAUUUUUCAGAUCUUUCUCUUUCUUUUUCCCAAAGUCACAUUGUAGUUUCUGAUAAAGGAACACACUGGGAAAACUAAGCACAUAUUUAAUCAAUGAAAUUUAAGGUGUAAAAAUUCUGCAUUUCUGACAAAUUUAAUGUUCACUUUUUUCUUGAUUUAAAUAGAGCAUUCUAAAAAUAUUACCCCUAUAGGGGAUAAAUUUUUAUAUGCAUGUUAUUUUUCUUUACAAAGUGUGGGCUAGUAAAGAGUGAAAAAGACCUUGGCUAUUGUACUUAUUUCUUGAAAGAAAUAAUAGCAUCUUAAUGACUGGAUUCAAAUCUCUGCUUAUCACACAACUUCCGUACAGUUCAAAGAGAGGACUUGGAUUGAAUGAAAACAGAGAGCUGGGGCUUCCUACAUUCCCCUGUGUUUGUGUUCAUACAGAAUAUUUAUGCAAUAUUCUGACUUGGCCAUAAUCUGUAAUUCCUGCCUAUUAUUCUCAGUUGCAACUAUAAAUUCUAGAUUAAUGGUUAUAAUUUUGGUAAGGCAUACAUGAAAAGUUAUAUGUUCCUGCUUGAAAGGAGGAUCAUUAAAUAUUCAUUAUUACCACUCAAAUUAGUUGUCAUGCUCUGUGUAAUAGUUACCCGUUAUCAUUUCACUAGUUUGGAUUCAGCAGUAAGUGAACAGCAAUAUAUAGCUCAUAGCGCCAGAGGACUUUUUUUGUCGGGGAACAGGGAGAGAAAUGAUUUUAAAACCCAUUUGACAUAUUUAUGUUGACAAAUUAUUUAAAGGAAUUACUGUGUUGUAAUAAACAUGUUUGUAUGUUGGAAUAGGAUUGUGGCUAAAUUUGCUUCUAGCUGUUUAAUUACUCUUAUUAUGAUUGUGAAAAACAGUGCUUCUUCAAGUAGUUCCAAGGAAAAAAAUAGAAAAUGGAAAAGUUGAGCUAUUUCAGUCUUUUGCAGGUAUCUAACCUUGCCAUGAAAAAGCACUUUUCAUUUUUGUAAGUAGAUAUUGAAAUCUUGCUUUUUCAGCGAAGCUAGAUUGUAUAAUUUAUUAGUUUUCUCCACCUGGUAACACAUCCUUAAGAAAAAAAUUGCCAAAAGUAAAGCAUGAGAUGGAUUUUAAAAUAAAUGUUGUGGAUGAACAC
rnacentral:lncRNA from 1 species